rnacentral:rRNA from 1 species
AUUGAACGCUGGCGGCAUGCCUUACACAUGCAAGUCGAACGGCAGCACGGGUGCUUGCACCUGGUGGCGAGUGGCGAACGGGUGAGUAAUACAUCGGAACAUGUCCCGUCGUGGGGGAUAGCCCGGCGAAAGCCGGAUUAAUACCGCAUACGAUCUACGGAUGAAAGCGGGGGCCCUUCGGGCCUCGCGCUUUAGGGUUGGCCGAUGGCUGAUUAGCUAGUUGGUGGGGUAAAGGCCUACCAAGGCGACGAUCAGUAGCUGGUCUGAGAGGACGACCAGCCACACUGGGACUGAGACACGGCCCAGACUCCUACGGGAGGCAGCAGUGGGGAAUUUUGGACAAUGGGCGAAAGCCUGAUCCAGCAAUGCCGCGUGUGUGAAGAAGGCCUUCGGGUUGUAAAGCACUUUUGUCCGGAAAGAAAACCUUGGCCCUAAUACGGUCGGGGGAUGACGGUACCGGAAGAAUAAGCACCGGCUAACUACGUG